rnacentral:rRNA from 1 species
UACAGAGGUCCCAAGCGUUGUUCGGAUUUACUGGGCGUAAAGGGUGCGUAGGUGGCGGGGUAAGUCGGAUGUGAAAUCUCCAGGCUCAACCUGGAAACGGCAUUGGAAACUACCUUGCUAGAGGAUCGGAGGGGGGACUGGAAUACUUGGUGUAGCAGUGAAAUGCGUAGAUAUCAAGUGGAACACCAGUGGCGAAGGCGAGUCCCUGGACGAUUCCUGACGCUGAGGCACGAAAGCUAGGGGAGCAAACAGG